GUUAAGAGUGCAUCGAUGGGGGGUCUCUCUUACGAGGAAUCCUUCGCACUGAUGAUUCCCAAGAGAGUCGGAUGAGGAGUUGCUGAUGAGGAUGGGGAGGAGAGGAAGGCGGACGGCGGAUGUGCACACACACACACUGACCCUGGACGCUGCGUUCCCCUUUAAAAGUCCCAUCCCACUCGGAUACGCAGAGCUCAUGCAGGAUCUGCUGCGGCAGUGGGGGAACACUGCUGAGCUGUGCAGUUUGUGCUGCCAGCAAGCGUGCAAUGAAGAGGAGGGGGGGAGCGAGCCCGUACUGGAGGAGGAGGAGGAGUGAGGGAGGUAGAGAGAGAGUGCAAACAAUGUCAUUCUGUUCAGGAGGCAAUGCUGCAGUCAACUUUGCCACGCCAUGAAAGCACAUCAGCAGCGAUCAAGAGGCUCCGAGUGAGUGCAGAGAAGUUUUCCUCCUCUCUGUCCUGUCUGUGUGAUGCGGUGCAAGACUCGUCCGGGAGGCACUGGGUCCUGCUGCUGGUGGCGUGUGGGAACAUGCCUUGACUUGUUGUGCUGCUGCAACACAGAAGGCAGAGAGAGCAACUGAGAAAGGAGAAGGAGCUGGUGGUCAAGCCUGGUGUGGAGUGACCUGCACCCUGAAGGAGCCCUGCAGCCCCCGGGACAGAGAGCAGUUGCACGUGGUGGAGGUGAGGGGGGACGGAGGAGCGCCGCUGCAGCCCGGUGAGCACACAUGGGAACAUGUCAUGACAUUACUAUCCCAGCUGAGCAGCGACCAUCAUUUCUACUAUCUGUUAGUUUGUUUUUUUUUUUAAUUCAGGACCUCAGAUCAGUUAAAGACAGUGAUUUGAAUGGAAAACAAAACAUUUUUAAAAGCUUUCAUGCAAGGAUGGCACCAUUGUAAUGAGAAGAAAAGCUACCAGGACUAUUUUACACCCAAACAUUGCAGUAACCUUCACACAGAGAGACCCUUUCAGGAUCAUCGAAUAAUCUUCACAGAGUUUUUCCAUAUUUAAUCCUUUGUUUAGAAUAUUCCUUUAAGAGAACUAACAAGCGUCCUGCAGGCGAAGGUUUGAGUUUCUGCUGAGGGCAUGACUCGAAUUUCUCUGGAAGGAGAAGUGUCAUCUGUGCUUCAGUUUAGGCUCGUUUGUGAGGAGUGGGCACCGCUUGUGCAUGCUGUCACAUUUAAUCACAUGCUUGUGCAAAAGCUUAAGAGCAAAAAUUAACAGCGGAAAAUCUGUUUUCUGGUCUCCAAAAGUUGUGUGUGUGCGGAAAACACUUCAUAAUUUACAGUUCAAUGGUGAUGCAAGAAAGUUGAUGCGCAAUUUACACUAUAUUUCUAAGGAGAACCAACAAAGAAAAGGCUUUUUAGGUUUAAGUCCCAUGUUUUAUUACUUAUAUUGUUAAAUAUGGAUUUUUAAAUUAAAAUGUUCUAAAAUCCUAAAUCUUCAGCGUACUAUUAGUGUGUAUGACGAGCAAAACUCUGCUCAGAAGUAUGGCGGUACAGUAAAAAUUGAGAGCAUUGUUAACCAAUUUAAGAUGAUUAGGUCAGUGAAAUGGGACUGGAGUAGAAAAGCUUUACUGUUCAAGCUUUCUUCAUUGAUGCUGAGCGGCCCAUGAAAUGUAAAGCAGGGGCGGGUGGGAGGGUGGAGUUCAGAGCACGGGACUGCUGACGGGUGGGGAGUGAAGGUGCAGUGCGAUCCUGCAUAACCAAGGAGCCCAACACUGAUGUGCUUUGGCGUAGUGAUUCAAGAAAAAAAAAA